CGAUGCUCUUGUUUCAAGAUGUCCAGUUCUUUUUGGUGCUUGACUUUGAGGUCUUCUUCCAGUAGCCUGUCAAAAUGGUGUUAAAAAUUAUGUGAAAAAAAAAAAGCCCAAACACUUCACUUAUGAUCCAGUACCAGCCUGUACUUCCGCUCUGUGAGACCGAUGUUGGAUUUUGAUGUGGUCAUCAUAUUUUUUCUUCAAAUGUUCUUCUGCCUCCUGCAAGCAAGUUACCCUAAGAUGAUUUAAGUCUGAACCAAGUAAGAAAAUAAAAAUAUACAGCACCAAUAGGGUCUUCUUGUGAACCAGGAGGAAGGAGAGGCAGGCAUGACAGGAGCUGCCUAUAGAACUUGGUGCUCCCAGUCAGGACCCCCCAGCAGGAUGGGUUAGCAGACAGUCCUGGCAGAUCCCCUCAGGUCCUGUUUGGGGAGACAGAGUGCAGAGCUGGGGCCCUGAUCCACAGCCUGGCAGAAAUAAGCAAGUCCCAUAAGGAGAAAGAGGGCCAAAUUCUUUUCUGAUUUAGGCUCUGAUUCAACAUGCCAUGAGCUUCUCAGCAUCUUGCAGGAUUGGGCUCUAUGUUU